rnacentral:rRNA from 1 species
AUGGAGGACUGCUAUGCUUGGCACUACGAGAAAUCAGGUGUCUUCACGGUUAGGAGCGCCUACAAGCUCGCCGAUUCUCUCAAGAGAAAUGGUACGGAGAUAGCAACAAGCUCCUCAAGAGAUCCGGGCGACCGGAGCAUAUGGGAUGCAAUUUGGAAAGCGGAGAUACCAGAGAAGAUAAAGGUCUUCGGAUGGAGAGUAGCCACAAAUUCGCUCGCUACCAAACACAAUGCUUGCAGAAGGACACUAGCUGAUGACAACGUAUGUGAAAUAUGCGGUAGAGGUACUGAAGAUGAGUACCAUGCCGUUAUCGCAUGUACGAGGAGUGCUGCUCUUCGCCACUCCAUGAGGGCCAUCUGGGACAUUCCUAGGGAAUCUGAACUCAAAUACUCUGGUGUGGAUUGGCUACAACUGAUGCUACUGGGACAGCAUAAGGAGGUCAGAACUAAGUUGAUGUUAAUCAUGUGGCAGGCUUGGAACCUAAGAAACAAUGUGGUCCAUGGUGAUGGAAAACAAACG